rnacentral:rRNA from 1 species
GUAGGGCGCGAGCGUUGUCCGGAUUUAUUGGGCGUAAAGAGCUCGUAGGCGGCUUGUCGCGUCGACUGUGAAAUCCCGCGGCUCAACUGCGGGUCUGCAGUCGAUACGGGCAGGCGUAGAGGUUCGGUGAGGGGAGACGUGGAAUUCCUGGUGUAGCGGUGAAAUGCGCAGAUAUCAGGAGGAACACCGGUGGCGAAGGCGGGUCUCUGGGCCGAUACUGACGCUGAGGAGCGAAAGCGUGGGAGCGAACAGG